rnacentral:lncRNA from 1 species
UUGCAUUUACCAUACUUCCUGAAUGUGUUCUUUGCAAUUAGGGACAUCUGAUGAGCUUGGAGUAUUGCUUGGCUUCCCACAGAUAACACGAAGAUGAGAACACCUCUCCUUGAGGCAGAGGCAGAAUGGCAUUGUCGUCUUGAAAGCCAGUAUCAGGUGGUGAAAUCUUUAUGAAGACACCAUCAGAAUAUUACAGAAAAUCCAGGGAAUAUGGAAGGGUAAGGUGAGUUAUUCAUUUUACCUUGUUGUUUCCCUUAAGAGCACAUCAUUCAGUGUGCCUAAAGUCAGACAGAAAUGAUUGCAUUUAUCAGACGAAUGAGUAUGAAACUGGUCUCCAGUGGGGAGAAAAUGGAGCGCUGUCAGGGU